CCCUUCAGUCUCUCUUUGUCUCAGUUUCUCUGCUUUCCAUUCUUUCCUAGGCCACAAUGAGAUCUGAUAGACCUCAAUAUCUAUAAUUAUAAGCUGCUUUACAUUUCUCAGAGAUUCUGCAUUUUCAGCAGUCUCUCAGGUGACAAUGAGGUAGCAGGGGUCGGGGCAUGAUGGAGUAGGGGGGAUGUUUCAGGAUGAAACUGUUCCACCUCAGAUCAUCAGGCAUUAGUUAGAUUCCCA
rnacentral:lncRNA from 1 species